CAGUCGCCACGGUAAAACGUAGGUGGCAAGCGUUGUCCGGAAUUAUUGGGCGUAAAGGGCUCGCAGGCGGUUUCUUAAGUCUGAUGUGAAAGCCCCCGGCUCAACCGGGGAGGGUCAUUGGAAACUGGGAAACUUGAGUGCAGAAGAGGAGAGUGGAAUUCCACGUGUAGCGGUGAAAUGCGUAGAGAUGUGGAGGAACACCAGUGGCGAAGGCGACUCUCUGGUCUGUAACUGACGCUGAGGAGCGAAAGCGUGGGGAGCGAACAGGAUUAGAUACCCCGGUAGUCCCUGUCUCUUAUAC
rnacentral:rRNA from 1 species